UGCUCUCCUGCCCCCGCCCCACUUCCUCAGGAACAAGUGUCACAAGCCGCCCAGCAGCUGAGGAAGACAUGCUUUGGCACAGAGCGGAGCCUGCCAGUCUGCGAUCCCAGAGCUGCAAGCACUUGUCUAUGUCUCUACCUGUGCAGAAGCCCAUCUGCCAAGGCCGCCCACAGAAGCCCCACUCCGGGCGCUGUGGAGAACAAGCUCAAAGGUGAUGAAACAUUACCCAGGGUGGAGGCCGUAAUGGCAUCCACUCGAGGAGAUCUCAACAAAACACCGCCAGUGACCACGGCCCUCACUCCAUCUGCUACCUGAACACCCCACCACCAAGCAAAGUCCAGCACAAAGAGACUCCUCGGGAUGUUUUACAUGAAUGUUAAGAAUUCCAGCCCAUGUGCCCCACCAGAUGAGAUUCACUGAUUAUCGGGGUCUCCCCACCCAUCCUAACUUCAUGACAUCAUUUCCUGUUGUGCUGUGGAUAUCGCUCUAUAUAAAUAAAACACUGAUGGCCAGUGACCAGACAGGAAAUAUAGGCGGGACA